rnacentral:lncRNA from 1 species
GUGAAGGUGAUGUCUAUAUUAUAGAUGCUAAUAGGCGAUGAGUUCAAUAUUCUGGUAUAAAUGUUAGUAUUUAUUUAUUGAUGCUCUACUAAUAUUAUUGUUCAACAACAUGUUAUAUUUGUUAAUAUUCAUUAACGUUGCAGGUCACGAUGGCACCGAAAUGCUAUCUAGCUUUCACCCCCGUGCCUCAGAGGACUACAUGAAGCUCUGCAUCUGAGCCACUGCUG